rnacentral:rRNA from 1 species
AGUGAACGCUGGCGGUAGGCCUAACACAUGCAAGUCGAACGGCAGCACAGUAAGAGCUUGCUCUUACGGGUGGCGAGUGGCGGACGGAUGAGGAAUACAUCGGAAUCUACUUUUUCGUGGGGGAUAACGUAGGGAAACUUACGCUAAUACCGCAUACGACCUACGGGUGAAAGCAGGGGAUCUUCGGACCUUGCGCGAUUGAAUGAGCCGAUGUCGGAUUAGCUAGUUGGCGGGGUAAAGGCCCACCAAGGCGACGAUCCGUAGCUGGUCUGAGAGGAUGAUCAGCCACACUGGAACUGAGACACGGUCCAGACUCCUACGGGAGGCAGCAGUGGGGAAUAUUGGACAAUGGGCACAAGCCUGAUCCAGCCAUACCGCGUGGGUGAAGAAGGCCUUCGGGUUGUAAAGCCCUUUUGUUGGGAAAGAAAAGCAGCAGGUUAAUACCCCGCUGUUCUGACGGUACCCAAAGAAUAAGCACCGGCUAACUUCGUG